GUCGAGAAUUUUUCACAAUGGGCGCAAGCCUGAUGGAGCGACGCCGCGUGGGGGAUGAAUGGCUUCGGCCCGUAAACCCCUGUCAUUUGCGAUCAACCGUUAUUAUUUAAAAGAUGAUGACCUGAUAGUAGCGAAAGAGGAAGGGACGGCUAACUCUGUGCCAGCAGCCGCGGUAAUACAGAGGUCCCAAGCGUUGUUCGGAUUCACUGGGCGUAAAGGGUGCGUAGGUGGCAUGGUAAGUCGGAUGUGAAAUCUCCGAGCUCAACUCGGAAAUGGCAUUGGAAACUGCCGUGCUCGAGGGUUGGAGGGGGGACUGGAAUACUUGGUGUAGCAGUGAAAUGCGUAGAUAUCAAGUGGAACACCAGUGGCGAAGGCGAGUCCCUGGACAACUCCUGACACUGAGGCACGAAAGCUAGGGGAGCAAACA
rnacentral:rRNA from 1 species